AUUGAACGCUGGCGGCAGGCCUAACACAUGCAAGUCGAGCGGAUGAAGGGAGCUUGCUCCUGGAUUCAGCGGCGGACGGGUGAGUAAUGCCUAGGAAUCUGCCUGGUAGUGGGGGAUAACGUCCGGAAACGGGCGCUAAUACCGCAUACGUCCUGAGGGAGAAAGUGGGGGAUCUUCGGACCUCACGCUAUCAGAUGAGCCUAGGUCGGAUUAGCUAGUUGGUGGGGUAAAGGCCUACCAAGGCGACGAUCCGUAACUGGUCUGAGAGGAUGAUCAGUCACACUGGAACUGAGACACGGUCCAGACUCCUACGGGAGGCAGCAGUGGGGAAUAUUGGACAAUGGGCGAAAGCCUGAUCCAGCCAUGCCGCGUGAGUGAAGAAGGUCUUCGGAUUGUAAAGCACUUUAAGUUGGGAGGAAGAGCAGUAAGUUAAUACCUUGCUGUUUUGACGUUACCAACAGAGUAAGCACCGGCUAACUUCGUG
rnacentral:rRNA from 1 species